rnacentral:tRNA from 1 species
GUUUAAUUAGUAUAAUUAGUACAUUUAAUUUCCAAUUAAAAAGUUUAAUAAAAAUUAAACA